AUUGAACGCUGGCGGCAGGCCUAACACAUGCAAGUCGAGCGGUAGCACAGAGAGCUUGCUCUCGGGUGACGAGCGGCGGACGGGUGAGUAAUGUCUGGGAAACUGCCUGAUGGAGGGGGAUAACUACUGGAAACGGUAGCUAAUACCGCAUAACGUCGCAAGACCAAAGUGGGGGACCUUCGGGCCUCAUGCCAUCAGAUGUGCCCAGAUGGGAUUAGCUAGUAGGUGGGGUAAUGGCUCACCUAGGCGACGAUCCCUAGCUGGUCUGAGAGGAUGACCAGCCACACUGGAACUGAGACACGGUCCAGACUCCUACGGGAGGCAGCAGUGGGGAAUAUUGCACAAUGGGCGCAAGCCUGAUGCAGCCAUGCCGCGUGUGUGAAGAAGGCCUUCGGGUUGUAAAGCACUUUCAGCGGGGAGGAAGGCGAUAAGGUUAAUAACCUCAUCGAUUGACGUUACCCGCAGAAGAAGCACCGGCUAACUCCGUGCCAGCAGCCGCGGUAAUACGGAGGGUGCAAGCGUUAAUCGGAAUUACUGGGCGUAAAGCGCACGCAGGCGGUCUGUCAAGUCGGAUGUGAAAUCCCCGGGCUCAACCUGGGAACUGCAUUCGAAACUGGCAGGCUAGAGUCUUGUAGAGGGGGGUAGAAUUCCAGGUGUAGCGGUGAAAUGCGUAGAGAUCUGGAGGAAUACCGGUGGCGAAGGCGGCCCCCUGGACAAAGACUGACGCUCAGGUGCGAAAGCGUGGGGAGCAAACAGGGAUAGAUCCCCUGGUAGUCCACGCCGUAAACGAUGUCGAUUUGGAGGUUGUGCCCUUGAGGCGUGGCUUCCGGAGAUAUCGCGUUAAAUCGACCCCCUGGGGAGUGCGGCCGCGCGGUUAAAACUCAAAUGAAUUGACGGGGGCCCGCACCAGCGGUGGAGCAUGUGGUUUAAUUCGAUGCAACGCGAAGAACCUUACCUGGUCUUGACAUCCACAGAACUUUCCAGAGAUGGAUUGGUGCCUUCGGGAACUGUGAGACAGGUGCUGCAUGGCUGUCGUCAGCUCGUGUUGUGAAAUGUUGGGUUAAGUCCCGCAACGAGCGCAACCCUUAUCCUUUGUUGCCAGCGGUCCGGCCGGGAACUCAAAGGAGACUGCCAGUGAUAAACUGGAGGAAGGUGGGGAUGACGUCAAGUCAUCAUGGCCCUUACGACCAGGGCUACACACGUGCUACAAUGGCAUAUACAAAGAGAAGCGACCUCGCGAGAGCAAGCGGACCUCAUAAAGUAUGUCGUAGUCCGGAUUGGAGUCUGCAACUCGACUCCAUGAAGUCGGAAUCGCUAGUAAUGGUAGAUCAGAAUGCUACGGUGAAUAAGUUCCCGGGCCU
rnacentral:rRNA from 1 species